rnacentral:lncRNA from 1 species
ACGAAUUUUGAGAUUCUUAAGUAUUCAUUGUAAAAUUUAGGGUUGUCAUUAAAUUUUGAGAUUCUUAAGUUUCAACGUGUUUUUCAUAUGUUAACGUUACACUGUAAGAACACGAAAUGAAACCACCGCCAAAAGACGACCCGCUGUGGGUCUAGGCUUACCACCCGACGCGUAAUCCGCGCGUAACGCUAACAUACGAAAAACACGUUGCUUGAUUACGUCAUUAGAGCGGCUCACGAUGACGUCGGGACAUAGGCUUCAUCAUAUCAACAGUCCAUCAAAGCCACGCCCUCUCGUCGUAUCCAAUCACACCCCUCACCAAAUGAACAAUAUAUACGCUAAACAUUCUUCCAAACGAAUAAAAGAAAGAAAGUUAAGAUCAACCCGAUUUUCAGUUACCGUUUAUUUAUGUUUUGAUUUGAAAAGAGAAAGAAUGGAAUCAGACAAGAGGAAAAGGAGCGAGAAAGAGAAAAACGAAGAGAGGAAAAAUAAUAAUAACAAUAAUAAUAGUAAGAAGAAAAAGCAAAAGCAGCACGCGAAUGAAAAAGUGAAGGAGGAGGAGAAGGAGGCGACGGAGGAGGAGGUGGAGGAGUUCUUUGCGAUACUGAGGAGGAUCCAGGCGGCCGUCGACUACUUCGGCGGGGAGGGGUGGCGGGCGGCGGCGGAGGCGGCGGUUGUUGUCGACAAAGGUGGUGACGAAGGUAAAGAGGAGGAGAUAGUUAAGGUGAACGAAGAUAUUAACGAUGGUGUUCUGGAUUUGAACGCUGUACCGGAGGCAGAUAGUCAAAGUCAUUAAGCUAAGUAACUUUUAUUUUUAUUUUUUGUAUUUUUGGGGGGUUUGCUUGAUCUUUUGAUUAACUAGUCAUGUUGUUUGAUCAGUAGUUGCUUACUCCGAAAUCUGAAUUCGAUAAUCUACCUCUCUCUCUCUCUGUAUAUUAUUAUUAAUUAUUAAUUAAUAUUACAUGUAGCAUUGUGAAAAGGAUUUUUUUUUUAUAUAUUAAAAAGAAAAAGAAAAAGACUUAUCAGAGAAUAAAUUAAUUAUAAAAAAUGAAUAAAUAAAUAAAUAAAUACAAGAAAAGGAUGUACGCAUAAAGGAAACGUGAUAAUUAGGCAUGAAUUCCGUCGGCAAUCGGCAUCCAUAUAUAGUUGAGUCGUUGUGAAUGUGAAUCUGAAGGCGGCAUGUUGUAUUUGACGAUCGCACUUUGAUUUCUUUAUGUAUUGAAAUUGAAGCAUGGACACCUCUCUGGUCAGGAUGUCAACAAAAGCCGGAUUUUUUUUUUUUCUUUAAAUUUUUUAAAAUGUUGUUCGCGUUUUCGGAUAUGAAUAUGAUGCCACAGUCGUAAUCUGUUUAGUUAUGCAUCUAACGAAUUAAAGGGCGAGAGGGCGUGUAUUUGAAUAGUAAAGAUAUUUAAAAGCAUCAUGAAUUUGGUUUGAUAUGAAAGAUUAAUUCUCAAACGAGUAUACCCUCAUUUUAAUAAAGUGAAAUAAAUAAAAAUAUAUAUAAUUUUUAUUCAUUAAAAUAUGUAAUUUUUUUUUAUGUUUUAACGACAUCCUUAUUUUAACAAAAUUAGAAUGUUUUUAUUAGAUAAUGAUUCUGAUAUCAAAAGGAAGAUCAAAGUUUAUUUUUAUUUCUAGAUAUUACGUUGAGAUGAUAUUUCAUAAAUUUUAGAAUUGUCGAUAACAUGAGUCACAUUCAAUUCUACGUGUGUCUCAACUUUAAAAUUAUAGUUGUCAUGUGUAUUUUGUCACGUCGGAAUGUCAUCAAUUUUUUUUAAAAAAAUCAAAUUGCAUAUAUUCAAGAUAUGAAUAAUGAUCAGGCGCGUGCAGUCAUGCGUGACAAAUUUUUAUUCAAGGAGCUCUACCGUGGAGCCUAAAGCCCCCCGAUGAUAAUUUGACUCGUGUGCAAUCGCGCAUCAGAUCAUCACUCUUCAAGAGAUAGAAAACCCAAGCAUUGGAGGGGUGAAUCAUCGUGGAAUUGAGCGGCUGGGAUUAUAUGCACGGGACUGCCUAAGGGCAUAUUUGGUAUUGCAGUUUAAAAUACAGUACUAAAUCAAGCACUUACUAUUGUGAUUUAGAAAUUAAGUUAUUCUUAUCUCACACUUAUAUGAUGAAAAUCGAUCACAUCUUUAUUAUUUUUGUAGAAAUUAUUAUUUAAAAAUUAUAUUGACCUCAUGCUAUCAAUUAUUAUUUUACAACUAUAAUUCUUUUCUUUUUCUUUUUUUUUUGGGGUUGGCGCAACACGUUAAAGAUCAAAUAGAGUAUAAAAAUUUUGUGUUUACUAAACACUGCUCUUUGCACUACCAUGCAGCAAUAUAAUUUACUGGAUUUUUUUUUCGUAAAAGAAUAUAAUUUACAAGUUGAACUAGAAUAGAUAGUCCUCAAAUGCAUAACGAAAAUCUUCUAUCGCUCUUAAAGACAAUAGUAGAAUGUUAAAAUUGAUUUCCAACAAACACGGUACACCAUUAUGAAUUAUGACUGACAAUUAACAUAGCAUGCACACAAAUACAUUGGAACUCAAACGAGAUACCACCUUCAUUCUUUUACACCACAAAAUUACAAAAAUGGGAUUUCUUAAUUAAAAUAAUAAUAAAAGGAAGCAAAAAUAGACACAGCGUAGUCUUGAGACAAAAUCGUAAAAGUCAAAAAUUAAAGUGAGUCCUGAGUUUUUAAAAAAGAAAAAGAACAAAAAAAGUGAAAAAGAAUAAGAUGUUGCGAAAAUGAAAAAGAAAAAGCUAAAAGAGAGAGAGGGAGGGACAAGUAAAGGGAGUGAAUUCGUGGAAAGUUCAUAAACAUUGUCGAGUAAUUUGUCUGUCAGCUAAGCAAGCAAUUUAAACAUUGACAAAUCACAACAAAUUCAAUGGUUCUGUGUAAGAGCGAUGAUCUGGUACACCCAAUUCUACGCGAUGAUAAAUUAUUAUUUUAAUGGAACUAUAUUGUAAAUUCCACCAAUAAUAUUAUAAUAAUCUGAUACAGGCAUAAUCAUUUAUCAUAGGGUGUGUGACUGCAUGCACACGUGAAUCUUGACGGUAGUUGGACUGCAAUCACAUGCACCCGAGUCACACCGAAGCACUUUGAUUUUUAACCACAAAAUAUGUUGACCCAUUUGUUGCCCCCACAUUUUGGUCGUCUUCCAAGGAAUGAUCACAGCACCGAACAACCACCCACCUUUUCUCUGUGACUACCCGGCCCCGCGCGAGUUCACUUAUUUGUAGGUUAGCUUUUGCUUAAAAAGUAAAAUAUAAGUAAAAAUUCUAACUUAUUUUUAUGUUUAGAUGACUAUAGUAAAAAAUUUAUUUUUAAUGAAAAACUCUUUUAAAAAUGUUUGGAUGACCAUCUAAAAAAGACAUUUUAAUUAACCAACUGGGCCUUGGCGUAGUGGCCAGGACCUUGCACUCACAACUGUGAACGCAGCAGUUCGAGCUCCCGUGACGCAUGUAGGGGUUUAUUUAUUUCCUUAAUUAGGCCAAGGCCCUUACACUUACAACUGUGAACGCAGCGGUUCGAGCCCCUGCGACGCAUGUAGGGAUUUAUUUCCUUCCUUAAUUAUUAAGUGAAGGCAGUUUUCUCCCUUUCGAAAUGUGAGUGGAGUAGACACCCCUCGAAUAUUAGAGAUGAUAAAAUCUGGACAGUGUUAUAUAAGAAUUAAUGUAAAUUAGGCCCAGUAAUUGUCUGAUUGUAAAUAUCAGUUGUAAAUCUCAUAUAAUAUGAGUUGUAAUCUGAGCAUUAGUCUCAUGUAAUUAAAAAAAAAAAGACAUUUUAAUUAUUAUAAAGUCAUUAAUACCCUUAAAUAUUUGAGUCUAACAAAUUCUUAUCAAAUUUAAAAAUCAAUGACAAACGAAAUAAUUAUUUGAUCAAUCUAGUUAAAUUUUUACAAAUUAAAGUAUCGUUUUUUUUUUAUAAAAAAAAAAGAAGAACAAUAAUAAUUAGAUUAAGUUUAUCUAAGUAUAAGUUCCCUAUCAAUAUUUUCUCGAACCACUCCCAUUUCACUUGUUUCAUUUUCCUCAACAUUAAUGUUAGUUGAUGAUUCUUCGUCAUCUGGAAUAUAAUCUUCUUUUCUCUCAUAAGAUUCGAACUCCAAAUCUGCAAUAGUCUCUCUCCUUAUAAAGUUGUGUAGAGCCAUUGAUGUGGCAACAACAGCUACUUGCUUAUCAAAUUUGAAAUUAGGCAUAUGUUGAAAAAUUUUCCACCGUGCCUUCCAUACUCCAAAGGUACGUUCAAUAACACUACGCAAUGAUGAAUGUGCAAAAUUGAAUGUCUCUCAACUAUUUCUUAGUAGGCCACUACUGUGAAAUUCAAGAAUAUGAUAUUUAUCUCCUUCAUAAAGAGCUAGAAAACCUUUCAUAUUUGGAUACCCCCCAUCAACCAAGUAAUAUUUACCAACAAAUUAUAACAAAAUUAAUUAUUCUUGUUUUAAAAGAAGUAAAAAAAAAAGUAAAAUAACACUUACAAAGUGAAGAACUUACUAUCUGGUGGUUUAGGAAAUUUUACAUAAUCGUUUUUCAAUGCCUAAAAAAAUAUAUGAAUAUCAUGUGCAAUUCCUUCCCAUCCAAGCCACACAAAUGUAAACAACAUGUCAAAAUCACAUGCUGCCAUUAUAUUUUGAGUAGGAAUACCUUUUCUACCAAUGUAUGGAAUUUGCUCAUCCACAGAAAGCGAGUCAAAAAUAUGAGUCCCAUCAAUAGCUCCGAUAUAAUCUUAAAAUGUAAUAUAUUAAUAUAAGAAACUAAAAUGAUUUACAAAUAUAUUAGUUAUGAAUUUUUAAAAAAUGUAUAAAUUAACUUAAAGUAUGGCCAAUACUUUGGAUUUCGUCGAAUGUAUUGUGGAGUUUCAUUAAAAUUAUCAGGCGCUCUAAUUUCUUCACUAGCUAACUUCAUCAUUGCUUUUAAAAUAUGUUCAAAUUGACGGCUCACAAUCUCACUUGAAUGUUGAACUAUUCGAUUUCCAAGAUUGUGCCCUAAGAUCAUAAAAAUCAUACUUACAGUUUCUUCCAAGUUCACACCUAUAGUAGCUGUUAAACCGUAACUUCUUAAUUAUCACAUAAUUUACAAAAUACAUGUUUUUCCAUCCGAAACAUUUCAUGGCAACGUCGAUCAUUGCCAUUAAGUACCUCCAUAAUAAAUUUUCAUCAUAUAUGAAGAGAAUUUCUACAUGGCUCUUUAACUAAAAAAUUAUUGUGACAGCAUACUGUUGUUCUUACAACAAUUAGGAUAAUUUCAUCAAACAUCUUACAAUUUCUAGCUGCUUGUUCCAAAUAUUGUUCAUUGGUGUCAUCAUUUGAAUCACUUGAUAACAUUCUAUACCAAAUACAAAAUAAAUGAUAAAUAGCCUUAAUCAAGAGAGUUUUCAAAAUGAUUGAUAUCUAAAGAAAAAAUAUCAAACUUGAUUUGCCUUUUUUUUCUUUAAAACAUAAAAAUGAAAUCUAAAAAGAAAAUGACAAAUCUUACAACUUUAGCUUUAAAUUAGACAAAACAAGAGAGCCAACCAAAAAAAAAAAAUAUUCAUCCUCAAAUGAUAACAUAAUAGCAAAGUUGAGUUUAUAAAAAUUGUUACAAAUUUAAAAAAUCCCGAAACAAUACAUUAAUCCGAAGUAACACAAAAACACUAGCACAAACUUAAUUAAAAAAAGAACAAACAUAGAAAUACUAGCACAAAAUAGUUUCUAAAUUUCAAGUGUCAUCUUGUUGAUCAUUCAACCACUCAAUUUAAUACUCUGGCUCACUUAAAGCAACAAAAGUCUCUCUAUUUGCCUUUUAUGUGAGCAAAUGAAUGCCCAACUUGAAUAGAGGAGACAUUGGUUAGCAUCCUGAAAGUGUAGCUAACUUGUCGAGAACCUCUUGAACACUACAACUGAGAGGAUCAAUACGUAUAUAUGAAUCCUUGUUCUUAACUACCUCACAAAGUUCAUCAAGUUGUUUGGUCAACUUAGAUGAAAUAGAUAUUUUCCUGUUAGCUUUCUUUAAUUGCUUCCUUCUUGGUGGAAUCUUUUCCAAAUGGUCACUACAUCAUAUUUCAUCAUGGUUGACUUCUUCAGAAUUUGCACUAUCCACCGGAGCAAUGUCAUCCUCAAUAAAAUUUUCAAAACUAGAAUGAUUGUAUAAAAGAGGUGUUGCACCAGAAGUUGGUGCCCAAGCUCUUGAUCAUGUUGUUGUAACAUCACAAAAUAAUUCAUCUAACAUAAAAGCAUGGUCUAGGCCCUUAAGCCAAAAUUUUGCAGCUUCUGGGUAUUUCUGUUAUUAUAAUUUUAGAAUUAGCAAUAUAAAAAUUUAAUAUAUGAAUUAAACUUAAAAUAACUUGAAUUUAAAUAACCUACUUGUAACUUUGCCUCCCACCAUUCAUUUGUAGCUUCUAUUUUUUGUCUCUCCACAUUCCAACCUAGCCAUGUUUCUCCCCUCACUAAUGCAUCCCAUAUCUACCACUCUUUCUUCACAAUAUCCCAACGGUUCCUAUGUCGCUUUCGAUCAUAAUCUUUAUUGGUUGCCGCUAUGAAAUUUUCUAUAAGAUUUUUCCAACCUUGCUUACUUAAAUGUGUUCCACUUCUAUUACCAGCUCUCACUUACUCCACAGCCAAAUUAAUCCAAAUUUCAUGUGAUUUUCGAUCCCAAAUAACUUUGGAUUUACCUUGGGAGACACCAUCAGUUGCCAUCUAAUUCUAGCUAAGGGUAAUAAAUAUUUAUCAAUAGACAUAUCAACAACACCAAAUCAGAGCAAGAAUAAUAAAAAAUAAAUAAACACAAAAGAAUACAAAAUAAUUUGGCAGUAACUGAUGCCACAACUACCAAUAUCUUUAAAAUAUUAAAUAUCAAUUGUUGUAACUUUAAUUUCAGUUACUUAUUACUGCACAUGCAUGUCAUAUAAUAUGCAGCUCAAACAAUAUUCUUCAUUAUGAACAAUUCAAACUAAUUCGAACUAAAUGCAAUUUCUUACUUUACAUUUUGAAUAAUAACACUUCUAUAUGUCCAAAUGAAUAAAAACUCACGUGAAAUAAACAAAAAAUUUAUAAAUUAACAAUACAAAAUUAAUUAAAUUUAAUUCGGCAACUUAACUUCUACUCUAUAUUCCACCAAUUCGCAAAACAUUAUUCUUUGUUCCAAGUCAACUUUAUAAAUUUAUUUCAAAAAAUAAUUAAAUAAAGCAUAACUGAAUGGACAAAGAAUUAAAGCAUGAGAUUUCCGUAUAUAUAUAUAAAUACACACACAAACUUUUAAAAAAUAAAAAUAAGAUCCAAAUCAAAGCAUGAGAUUACAAAAAAAAAAAAAAAAAAUCUUACUUGAAUGAAGAUUGGUGUGGUGAUUGUGCUCUUUCUGUUGUUGUUGUUUUUUUUUUUUUUUGGUUGAACAAUGAUGAGGUAAAACAAGAAAAAUACCUGAGAAAUAUGAUUUAAGGGUUUGGAUAUGGAUAUGGAUGUAAUAUUUUUUUUGUUCCUUUGUUAAUUUAAGAUUAGUUUAGGAAUUAUGAAAAGUGUAAUAAAUGAGAAUAUAAAUUUUCAAAAGAUCUUUUGGUAAAAAUAAAAAAUCAUGACUUCUCUCAAAAGACCUUUUGGAUAAAAAUAAUGACUUUUGAUUUGACACCCAAAUAAUUUCAAAAGAUAUUUUUUUAAUUAUUUUAAAAAAAAAACUUAAUUAAGCUAACACAAACAUGAACUAUGACGUUGCGAAAAUGAAAAAGAAAAAGCUAAAAGAGAGAUAUGGAGGGACAAGUAAAGGGAGUGAAUUCGAGGAAAGUUCCUAAACAUUGUUGAGUAAUUUAUCUGUCAACUAAUUCUAGCUAAGGGUAAUAGACAUUUAUUAAUAAACAUAUCAACAACACCAAAUCAGAGUAAGAAAACACAAAAGAAUAUAAAACAAUUCAGCAGUAACUGAUGCCACAACUACCAAUAUCUUCAAAAUAUUAAAUAUCAAUUGUUGUAACUUUAAUUUCAGUUACUUGUUAUUGCACAUGCAUGUCAUAUAAUAUGCAGAUCAAACAAUAUUUUUCAUUCUGAACAAUUCGAACUAAAUGCAAUUUCUUACUUUACAUUUUGAAUAAUAACACUUCUAUAUGUCCACAUGAAUAAAAACCCACGUGAAAUAAACAAAAACUUUAUAAAUUAACAAUACAAAAUUAAUUAAAUUUAAUUCGGCAACUUAAGUUCUACUCUAUAUUAUACCAAUUUGCAAAACAUUAUUCUUUGUUCCAAGUCAACUUUAUAAAUUUAUUUCAAAAAAUAAUUAAAUAAAGCAUAACUGAAUGGACAAAGAAUCAAAGCAUGAGAUUUCCGUAUACACACACACACACACUUUAAAAAAUUAAAAAUAAGAUGCAAAUCAAAGUAUGAGAUUAUAAAAAAAAAAAGUUCUUACUUGAAAGAAGAUUGGUGUGGUGAUUGUGCUCUUUCUGUUGUUGUUUUUUUGUUUUUUUGGGUUGAACAAUGAAGAUGUAAAAUAAGAAAAAUACAUGAGAAAUAGGGUUUAAGGGUUUGGAUAUGGAUGUAAUAUUUUUUUUAUUCCUUUGUUAAUUUAAGGUUAGUUUAGAAAUUAUGAAAAAUGUAAUAAAUGAGAAAAUAACUUCUCAAAAGAUCUUUUGAGAAAAAUUAGAAAUCCUGACUUCUCUCAAAAGACCUUUUGGAUUAAAAUAAUGACUUUUGGUUUGACACCCAAAUAGUCUCAAAAGAUAUUUUUUAAUUUUUUUAAAAAAGAACUUAAUUAAGCUAACCCAAACAUCAACUAUGAUGUUGCGAAAAUGAAAAAGAAAAAGCUAAAAGAGAGAGAUGGAGGGACAAGUAAAGGGAGUGAGUUCGAGGAAAGUUCCUAAACAUUGUUGAGUAAUUUAUAUGUCAACUAAUUCCAGCUAAGGGUAAUAGAUAUUUAUCAAUAAACAUAUCAACAACACCAAAUCAGAGUAAGAAAACACAAAAGAAUAUAAAACAAUUCGGCAGUAAUUGAUGCCACAACUACCAACAUCUUCAAACUAUUAAAUAUCAAUUGUUGUAACUUUAAUUUCAGUUACUUGUUAUUGCACAUGCAUGUCAUAUAAUAUGCAGAUCAAACAAUAUUCUUCAUCAUGAACAAUUUGAACUAAAUGCAAUUUCUUACUUUACAUUUUGAAUAAUAACACUUCCAUAUGCCCACAUGAAUAAAAACCCACGUGAAAUAAACAAAAACUUUAUAAAUUAACAAUACAAAAUUAAUUAAAUUUAAUUCUGCAACUUAACUUCUACUCUAUAUUCCACCAAUUCGCAAAACAUUAUUCUUUGUUCCAAGUCAACUUUAUAAAUUUAUUUCAAAAAAUAAUUAAAUAAAGCAUAACUGAAUGGACAAAGAAUUAAAGCAUGAGAUUUCUGUAUACACACACACACACACACACUUUUUAAAAAAAUUAAAAAUAAGAUGCAAAUCAAAGCAUGAGAUUACAAAAAAAAAAUAAUUCUUACUUGAAAGAAAAUUGGUGUGGUGAUUGUGCUCUUUUUGUUGUUUUUUUUUUUUUUUUUUUGGGUUGAACAAUGAAGAGGUAGAACAAGAAAAAUACCUGAGAAAUAGGGUUUAAGGGUUUGGAUAUGGAUGUCAUAUUUUUUUUAUUCCUUUGUUAAUUUAAGGUUAGUUUAGGAAUUAUAAAAAGUGUAAUAAAUGAGAAAAUAUCUUCUCAAAAGAUCUUUUGGAAAAAAAAUUAGAAAUCAUGACUUCUCUCAAAAGACCUUUUUUUUAAUUUUUUUUAAAAAAAGUUUAAUUAAGCUAACCCAAACAUGAACUAUGAUGUUACGAAAAUGAAAAAGAAAAAGCUAAAAGAGAGAGAUGGAUGGACAAGGGAGUGAGUUCGAGGAAAGUUCCUAAACAUUGUUGAGUAAUUUAUCUGUCAACUAAUUCUAGCUAAGGGUAAUAGAUAUUUAUAAAUAGACAUAUCAACAACACCAAAUCAGAGUAAGAAAACACAAAAGAAUAUAAAACAACUCGGCAGUAACUGAUGCCACAACUACCAAUAUCUUCAAAAUAUUAAAUAUCAAUUGUUGUAACUUUAAUUUCAGUUACUUGUUACUACACAUGCAAGUCAUAUAAUAUGCAGAUCAAACAAUAUUCUUCAUUCUGAACAAUUCGAACGAAAUGCAAUUCCUCACUUUACAUCCUAAACAAUAACACUUUUAUAUGCCCACAUGAAUAAAAACUCAUGCGAAAUAAACAAAAACUUUAUAAAUUAACAAUACAAAAUUAAUUAAAUUUAAUUCGGAAACUUAACUUCUACUCCAUAUUCCACCAGUUCGCAAAAUAUUAUUCUUCGUUCUAAGUUAACUUUAUAAAUUUACUUCAAAAAAUUAUUAAAUAAAGCAUAACUGAAUGGACAAAGAAUCAAAGCAUGAGAUUUCCGUAUAUAUACACACACACACACACACACUUUAAAAAAUUAAAAAUAAGAUGCAAAUCAAAGUAUGAGAUUACAAAAAGAAAAUUCUUACUUGAAAGAAGAUUGGUGUGGUGAGUGUGCUCUUUCUAUUGUUGUUUUUUUUUUUUUUUUUGGGUUGAACAAUGAAGAGGUCAAACAAGAAAAAUACACAAGAAAUAGGGUUUAAGGGUUUGGAUAUGGAUGUAAUAUCUUUUUUGUUCCUUUGUUAAUUUAAGGUUAGUUUAUGAAUUAUAAAAAGUGUAAUAAAUGAGAAAAUAACUUCUCAAAAGGUUUUUUGAGAAAAUCUAAAAAUCUUAACUUCUCCUAAAAGACCUUUUGAAUAAAAAAAAUAACUUUAGGUUUGACACUCAAAUAUUUUCAAAAGAUCUUUUUUAAUUUUAAAAAUAAAUUUAAUUAAGUUAACCCAAACAGGCACGUGAAAAUGAAAAAAGAAAAAGUUAAAAGAGAAAGGGAGGGACAAGUAAAGGGAGUGAGUUCGGGGAAAGUUCCUAAACAUUGUUGAGUAAUUUAUCUGUCAACUAAUUUUAGCUAAGGGUAAUAGAUAUUUAUCAAUAGACAUAUCAACAACACCAAAUCAGAGUAAGAAAACACAAAAGAAUAUAAAAAAACUCGGCAGUAACUGAUGCCACAAAUACUAAUAUCUUCAAAAUAUUAAAUAUCAAUUGUUGUAACUUUAAUUUCAGUUACUUGUUACUGCACAUGCAAGUCAUAUAAUAUGCAGAUCAAACAAUAUUCUUCAUUAUGAACAAUUCGAAUGAAAUGCAAUUCCUCACUUUACAUCCUAAACAAUAACACUUUUAUAUGCCCACAUGAAUAAAAACUCAUGCGAAAUAAACAAAAACUUUAUAAAUUAACAAUACAAAAUUAAUUAAAUUUAAUUCGGAAACUUAACUUCUACUCUAUAUUCCACCAGUUCGCAAAAUAUAAUUCUUCGUUCUAAGUCAACUUUAUAAAUUUACUUCAAAAAAUUAUUAAAUAAAGUAUAACUGAAUGGACAAAGAAUCAAAGCAUGAGAUUUCCGUAUAUAUAUAUAUACACACACUUUAAAAAAUUAAAAAUAAGUGCAAAUCAAAGCAUGAGAUUACAAAAAAAAAAAUUUUACUUGAAAGAAGAUUGGUGUGGUGAGUGUGCUCUUUCUAUUGUUGUUUUUUUUUUUUGGGUUGAACAAUGAAGAGAUAAAACAAGAAAAAUACACAAGAAAUAGGGUUUAAGGGUUUGGAUAUGGAUGUAAUAUUUUUUUCGUUCCUUUGUUAAUUUAAGGUUAGUUUAUGAAUUAUAAAAAGUGUAAUAAAUGAGAAAAUAACUUCUCAAAAGGUUUUUUGAGAAAAUCUAAAAAUCUUAACUUCUCCUAAAAGACCUUUUGAAUAAAAAAAAUAACUUUGGGUUUGACACUCAAAUAUUUCCAAAAGAUCUUUUUUAAUUUUAAAAAUAAAUUUAAUUAAGUUAACCCAAACAGACACGUGAAAAUGAAAAAGAAAAAGCUAAAAGAGAGAGGGAGGGACAAGUAAAGGGAGUGAGUUCGGAGAAAGUUACUAAACAUUGUCGAGGAAUUUGUCUGUCAGCUACGCAAUUUAAACAUUGACAAAUCACAAAUUCAAUGGUUCUAUGUAAGAGCGAUGAUCUGGUACACCCAAUCAUACGCGAUGAUAAAUUAUUAUUUAAUGGAACUGUAUUGUAAAUUCCACCAAUAAUAAUCUGAUACUCGUAUAAUUAUUUAUCAUAAGGUGUGGAACUGCACGUGCUAGAUCACCGCUCUCUAUGCAAAGUCAAAUUAUUUGUAAUCAUAUUUGAUCACACACGUGAAUCUUGACGGUAGUUGGACUGCACUGACACGCACCUGAGUCGCACCGAAGCACUUUGAUUUUUAACCAUAAAAUAUGUUGACCCAUUUGUUGCCCCCACGUUUUGGUCUCGUCUUCCAGGAAUGAUCGCAGCUCCGAACAACCACCCACCUUUUGCCUGUGACUACCCGCCACGCGCGAGUUCACUUAUUCGCCAAUCGCCAAGCAAAACCACAUCUUCUCCCCUGACCCACCCCACCUCAUCAAAACCAUUCGGUUUGGCGAGUAGUGUUUGUGUCAAAAUUUAAACUAAUUCCAACGCAUCUCAUUUUAUUAAUCACGACAAAGAAUGUAAUUUUUAAGUUAAUUUAUUUAUUAUCACAUCACUUAAUGAACAAAAUUUAAAUAUAAAUAAAAAACUAAUUUCUUCAAAAAUAUGACAUGUCUAUGAAUAAAAUAUAACAGUAUUAUAAAGGAACUAUUGUGUCAAAAAUUUUAAACCUAAAAUGAACACGAUUAUUAAUUAAAUUGAUAUAGACACCCAUCAUUUAAUAGCGUACGUCUUGCUGACCGGCACCCAAUGACGUCAGGACCAUAGGACACCAACUCCAACACAAAUCCAACGGCUGAAAUGACACAGCAUUACAAAAAUCAAAAGUCUCCCAAUACUUGCCUAAUACUUACCCACCAACCGGUCCCCCACACAAAACGACCAGUAUAUAUACAUACACAGAGACAUGCAGUGCAAGAACAUCAUUCGUUUAAGCGAGCUAGCAUUAGCAUUAGCAUUAGCAUUUAGCAAAGCGGAAGCAUCGUCUCUGUGGAGUCAAAAUUAAAAAAAAUAAAAAUAAAUAAAUAAAUAGAUAAAUAGAAGUUGACGCCACUAUCGUUUGUAUGGAAGGAGAGAGGAGGAAAAGGAGCGGCGAUAAAGAGAAGAGGAACGAAGAGAGAGAGAAGAGGAAUAAGGUGAGGCAGGAGGAGGCGACGGAGGAGGAGGUGGAGGAGUUCUUUACGAUACUGAGGAGGAUGCAGGAGGCCGUGAGGUACUUCGGCGAGGGGUGGAGGGAGGCGGUGGAGGCGACGACGGCGGUGAUCGACAAUGAUGAUGAUAUGAACGAUGAAGAAGAAGAGGAGAUUGGGAUGAUCCAGAAAAAAGAAGAAAUUAAUAAUAAUAAUAAUAACAAUAACAAUAACAAUAAUAAUGGUGUUUUGGAUUUGAACACAGAACCAGCUCCACCUUCAGCUGAGGAAUGAGAGUGACAGCUGUGCAUGUUGCCGAUUCUUAGCUUUGCUCUGGCCUCUGGUUCUCAAUUAUUUUUUUAUAAAUUUGAUUUUUAUUUUUGUUUUUGUUUUUAAAAAGCUGGCUACGUGGAAACUUUUUUUACUGGUUAAGAUGCUCACUCUGUUAUCGCAAGCCGGCGAUCUGAGUUCUGAUUCUGUAACUUGGAACUGACAGUGUUCCGGUCUGAGAAAGUUAAUUAAAAGCUUCUUUUUUUUUUAAUUAUCAUUAAUAUACCUUUAGCUUACUCUUAUUUUAUCUGUUAAAAAAAAAAAAUUACUAUAAUACUUUUAGAAUGUAUCAAUCGUUAAUUUUAAGUUGAUAAAAUAUAUAUGUUGUCUACUAAAUCGUUAUUUACCGUUUAAAUAUGAUGACAUCAUAGAGAUAAUUUGAUUUUUUCAAAUAAUACAAAUGAUAAUUUAAGGGCAUACAAGCGAUAAUAAAAAAAUUUAAGGGUAUAUAAAUAAUAAUUUAAGAAUAUAUAAGUAAUAAUAAAAUAAUUUAAAAAUAUACAAGUGAUAAUUUUUUUUUACUUUAAUUUAAGUUUUAACGGUAAAAAUAUUAAUUCGUUAUAAUUUUAUUAACUUUUAAAUAGUAGUUAAUGGUUUAUAGUCGGUACAUAAUUUUUAUCAAUUUAGUUAUUUAAGGUGGGUGAUUAAUACACCCUAAAAAUAUUAUAAUAUUUUUUUAUAAUAAAAUAAAUAUAAGGUAUACGAAUGAUAAUUACUUUUUUUUAAUGAUUUUCUUUUCAUAAAAUUGUCUAAAAUUAGGAUUAAUAUUUAAAUUUAAUAUUUUAGACAUGAAUUCCGCUAAUAGUAUGUGGUACUAAACAUAUAAUCGAUAAUUGAGAAGGGCUCAAUUGGCAAUCAUCGACUCAGGAGCAUCUACUUUAAAAUGCGUCUCCUUUAAAAUGUCUGUUUUUGACAGCUGAAUCAAGGAAAAACAACAAGCGGACUCUUUUUAUAUAAUAAAAAACCUUUAAUUUGGGUUUUUUUUUAUCAUAACAUUCUUUUGUAGUUUUUUUUUUUUUACUAUGUACCAGAAACCAUAAUUUCGGGAUUUUAUUUUCCAUAUUUGUGAUGUUAUAAUAGCCAUGAUACUUGUCAUAUCUAGAUGAAAUAAUGGCAAUAAUUUUGGCUCAUUAUUGACCGAAGUGAGAAGUUUCAAGAUCAUAUUUUUGGGAUCUAAAGUGAGCUUUGCUUAUCAAGUAAGAAUCGCAAUCUUUAUUUAAUAAAAUUUUUUUUGGGGGGGGCAGAAGCUAUUUGAACUCAUCAUUUUUUUUUCCUGUACACUCUCUUUUUAGUUGAGCAUUUAUUGUUAAAAUAUUUUUUCAUAAAAUUACUUAGUGAACUAUUUCUUAUCUUUUCAUUCUUAAUUCCUCAAUUCUAAUUAAUUCCUUUAUAUAUUUUCUUUUAACUACAGACUAUAAAUAAUUGAUUUUGUUAUAAGAUAUCAUAAACAAAAAAAAAUCAAAAUUCAUCAUUCAAAAAUGAAUACCACUAAAUUGUUUCAGCUAUAAAAGUUAAUAAAUUUUAAGAAAUUAAUUUUUACUAACCACAAAAGUUAGUGAAUAAAAAAAAAUAAUUCUUAUAUAUAAAAAAUGUGAAAUAGAGAUUAUGAUUUACUAAAAAAGAAAAAAAAAACCCAAAAGAGAGUAAAACUAAGAGUUUAGUUUAGAGAAUGUGAAAGUAGAGAGAGACUAUGUAAUUCUAAGGUGAGACAAAAAGAGAAAGAGAAUAGUAAAGGAUAAUUUUGAGAUUUUAAAAUUUUGAUAAUAAAUUUAUUUUUUAAAAUAGAUGUAGAGAUAAAUUUAUUAGGUUCAAAUAACUCCAUUCUUUCUAUUAUUAGUAUAUCGUGUAAUCAAAUUACUUGUAAGGCCAUAAUAACUAAAAUAUAGAUUUACGUAUAUUAUAUUUUAUUCAUGAAUGGGGCUAUUUGCAUGAUUGCAUCUUAAAAAAUAUUUUAAACAACUAUAUUUAUGUAAAUUUUAUAUUACAAAAAUAACCACAAACAUUAUUUAUUAUUAAGUACAUUUUAACAUAAAUGAAUAUAACAGACCCACGAAAUGAAAUUACUCCUCGGGUAUUCACAAGACAAGUUUAACAUGUAAAGAAAUACUAAAUCAUACUAAUCCAAUUUUCUUUAAAAGCCAGUCAAAAUUGCACAUUGAAGGAGCCUUAUGUAAUAUCGAGUAUCAAACCCCAUUUUUUUUUUAAAAAUUCAGUCAAAAUUUCACUAAAGGCCAAAAAUUGUUAUAAAGGACCAAAAAAAGGUCAAAACUUACUAUUUUGAAAUUGCUUAAUUGUUUUUAGACUUUGAAAGGAAAAAAAAAAAACUUAUUUGUGUUUUUUUUUCUCUCUCUCUAUAUGUAUACAGUCCUUCUCUAGUGAAGACAUCCUCACUUUGUUAAUGUGAAGAUACCAGUAAAAUAAAAUAAAAAAAAUACAUAUUUUAAUAUGUUAGAGAUAAUAUAUUGGCUGAGAUUAAAAAAUAAUUACAUUACAAAAUAUUAAAAAUAGAAAAUAAAUAGAAAAUAAUUAGUAGAUUACAAAAGAUUACAUGUCUCUUCCUCUUUCUAUUUAAAUUCAACAAUAUGUAACCAUUAAUAAUAAUUAAUUAUAAGUCUUGAAACAUUCAUUUAUUUUAUUGAGCCAACAAUUAAAUUUUAGUGGAUUAAAAUACAUCAACUAAUUAAUAUAGAAAGGAAGGUUCCUUCAUCUUCCCUUACCAAUGCCACUAGAGCCUAUGUUUAAUAUCAUAAUCUCAUAUUAAACAUUAAGUAUUUAAGAUUUGUUAUGUUUGGGUUUUCUUUUAUUAUUUAACCAACAUCCUAUUUAGAAAUAUUCUUGUAUUUUAUUUUUUGACUUAUUUGAAUUUUUAGUAUUGUGUGCUUCAUGGAAUAUUUUUUUCUUCGUGAGUUGAACAAUGAUAAAGAUAGUUGGAUGAUAAGAGUUAAGUUUUGUAGGAUAUGAGAGUUUGUUAACACCAAGAAAAAUGAAGAAUUGAUUAGUAUGAACAUAAUUUUUAUUGAUGAAAAGGUUGUAUAAAAAAAAAUUUCUCCCAUUGUUUUCUCUAAUUUUUUUUCCCAAUUGUUUUACACUUAAUGCAGGAUUUUUUUUUUCGUAGGAAAAUCUAAUGCAUGCAACAAUUAGAAAAAAUUUAGUGACAAGAAUUAGGCACAUGUUGAGUGGGGAUUUUUUGUACAAUGUCAAGAAUUUGAAAGUUGCUUCAACUACAGGCGAGUACGAACCACUUUCAAAUUAGUAUAAGAUUAUUUUCUUGGUUACAACUUCGCUUAAGAGGUUAGAAGAAGGAACUGUUAAGAUUCCAAUCAAUAGAUUCUAAUUCGUAUCUCCAAAUUUGAUUAAUUUACAUGGGAAUGAUAAUACAAUCCUCUCAGGUAUUUAUUUUAAUUAUCAGUGUUUGUUAAUCUUUAAGUAUAUAUUAGAAAUUAUUGAUUCUUAUGUUUUAAUAUGUUUAUGUUAUUUUUCCAUGAUAUUACAAAUGUUGUCGGAAGUUUAUGUGGUGUGAGUGAUAUUGAAAUUGUUGGAGCUGGUUGGAAAAAAAGAGAUAUAAAAGUUCUAACAUAUUAGUAAGUUAAAUAUAAUCAAGAAAACUAUGACUAUAUAUAUUUUUAGUUCUUUUAUAAACAAUUGCUCACCUACUCAGCUACAAACGAUGCAAAGUAACUUACAAAAGCUUUUACAUGUAUUUUAUUUAUUCUUUUUAUAAUUCAAUGCAUUGCUAAGGAUCCUCAGUUACAAAAUUUAAUUUGGAACUUAUCAACAACUACAAAAGGUAUAAGGUCUGUACACUCAGACUAUACACAUUAAUAUAUAUUUUUAAAGUUAACAAAAAAAAUAGUUAACUUUCAUAAAUAACAUUAGUUUUAUAAAACUACCUCAUUUUAAAAAAAUAACCCAAUUUAUAUUUUUUUAUUAGUUUCAUCAAGUGCAAAAUAAGAAAAAAUGAUAAUAUUAAUUUUUUUUAAAUCGCACGAAGUGCGGUUCUAUUUCCUUAUUUAUGUAUAUAAUUAUGAACUCCCAAAUAAUUUUCUUUCCCAUUUUGUUAUUAGGGGAUAAUGGAAGCUCCAAAGAGUGCACCGUAAAUUCCGUUAAUGGGAGCAAAAAUCAACUUUCUCAUUGUGCUUUCACCUAAAUGGACUUUUAAGGACAUCUUACAAAUCACAUAAUAAAAAUACUAAACCUUUGUUAAUUAUCGUCCAAUGAUUUACAAGUUGUACUCAUAGUGAAUUAAAUGAGUGUCCAUAACACAGAUAUUUGUUAUCGGUAACAAAAAUUUGGUGACUGUUAAUUGUUACGUACAUCUAUUAUGAAGUGGUCCCCUCUCCUUACAUAUGAAACCUACACAUGUCACACUUAUUUUUAUUUUGCAUUGAUGAGAGAAAAAAAAGGGGGAAAAAAAAAAAAGAACCCAAUCGCCCCUCCAGAGAUUAUUCUUACAUACUAUAUAGUUCAUCAAAUUGAAAUUUGGUGAAUCAAACAACAAGGACAUUCAAGGGGCGUUUGAAAUUGAGAUUGGACAGUUAUAAUUUAAAAGUUACAGUACUAAACACUAGUUGAAGUUAGUGGGGGAUUUAAAAAAAUAAUUUACCGAGGGCUAGAUUACAUAUUAGUAAAAUUUUAAAACUAAAACUUUGAAUAUAUAAAAUACUUGUUAAUACAUUUAUAAUUGUUCUCGACGUAUUUUCAAGAAUAGAAAAAUGUUUGUGGUGAAGACCUAUCAUUACUUUUAAUUAUAUAGUGUAGGCUUUUAUAAUUCUAAAAGUUAAAGUUUAAAUUUUGUGAAUUUAUAAAUUUUUAGGGUCAAUUUUAAUAGAUUUAAUGGGGCUAAUUAGAAAUCUUAAAUAUUUUUUCUUUUAUUCUUAGAAUUGUUUUUAGUCGGUAGGGGCGACAGCCCCCACUGGUCACAUGCUGCAUCUGCCGCUGGUUGCGCUAGCUUGGAAGAUAUGUUGAUAUGGUUUUUCACUUGUAUAAUGAAAAAUCUAUUAUAUCCUUAAGAAUCUUGUCAAAAUUAUUAUUUAAAAUUUAUAUUUACUGCAAAUUAUUAUUUUUUAUUUAAUAAUUACAAUUUUUUUUCCACAACAGUUAUAACUUAAAAAUUAUAUCACCUCAAUCCCAAAUAUGAUCUCACUGUGGAAAAAAAAUAAAUCUGUAUUCUUCAAAGGAUUCCAUAAGCUUAAUAACUUCAUUAAUUAAAGAGUUCUUUUUUUCUCUUUUUCCAUCUCCCGUUAUCAUGCCUCCAUUCCUUUCAAAGAUUCGUAUCUAUAUCUUAUUGUAUUACAAAUUGAUAGUGGAAUCAAUGUCCACCAUUUGUAGAGAUAAUUGUGUCAUAUAUCGAUAUGGGUAUAAACAAUCAUAUUCCCAGACUACUCCUACAACACUACAUAUAUUAUGCUUUUUAGUGACAUGUGACGUUAAAUAAGUUCGUAAUGUGUGAUAGAUAUCAUAUAUUCAAUUAUAUAUUACUUUAAUCGAUGAUAAAAUAUAAUAAAAUUGAAAUUAAAUAUAAUCAUUCUAUAAUUAUCCCAUCUUUAAAGACAUCAGUGUUGUAUAUGUGAUAUGAUUUUAUUAUUUGAAUAAUGAGAGAAUAUGUAGAAUAAUUAUACACAUGACAUUAAAUUAUUGAUGACAUAUAAGCGACUGUCCCAAUAUAUAUAUGAUAGGGUUCUCCAAACUAAAUUUUUUUAAUAUAAAAUUAUAACUUAAUUUUUCAUCUACUUAAUUCAUUUAAUUAAUCUAAUGGUAUAAAUGUAAAGUGAAUAAGUAAUAUGAACAUAAUGGACAUGCAUUUUUUUCGAUUGCUUUUUUCUUUAAACCAAUUGGCCGAGUGAGCUGAUGAGCUGCAGCUUUUUAUGUCCAAUAUUUUGGGGAAAUUUACACCAAUAGCCAUAACAAUUUUAGCUUUUUCUAUUUUAACCCCCCAAGUAAAUUUCUAUCAACAUUAGUCAUAAAAGACCCUUUUAGACUAAAAUACCCCUCUCUCUCAUCUCUCCCUCAACACUCUCUUUCAGCCAUCUCUCCCAAACCAAACAAACUCCCAUCAUCGGCGGUGGCUUCAUCCCUCGUCGGCGGCGGCUUCAUCCCUCUUCGGCGUCCGAUCUACCAUCUACAGUCUUCAACAAAAUCUAGGUUAGCUAUUUUUUUUUUAUUUUCAUUAAUUUAAAAUGAAAUUUUAGAAUAAUAAUGAUGGUGGUGGUGGUGGUGGUGGUGAUUGUGGUGGUUGUUGUUGUUUUGAGAGUGUUUCUUUCUCAAUUUGGGAGUGUUUCUUAAGGAGGGAAUCGCAACCCAGCGAAGGGCGCUAAAGCGCGCGCCGCUCGCCCAAGCGACGAGCGCUAGCUCAUGCCCAUCGCUGGGCAGCAGUGCGUGCACGCGCCCGUUGCUGGGCGCGCCGCUCGCCCAAGCGACGGGCGCUAGCUCGUGCCCAUCGCUGGGCAGCAGCGCGCGCGCAAAUGGGUGCUGUCGCACUAAUUUGGUGCGACAGGCUCGACUGUCGCACAAUUUUUUUGUGCGAAUUACAGUGGCUUUAUAAUUUUUUUUUUGUCAAGUCAAUUUAUUUUAUUUUUGUUGUAAAUGCAAUGUAAUAAUGUUAUAAAUAUUACAGAUACAUGGCGAAAUCAGAAUCGUCUGAUAUUGAAGUAGGCAGGAUGUAUUUUCGUUAUGCCGAUCACUUUCCGGGUCGAAUUUCGAGCAUGUGUAAUUUAUCUUUGGUCGUAAAAGCCAUCGAUGAAAAAUUAACAAAGCGGCAGUUGAAUAUGUUCAAGAAGGAUAUAUUUGGGCAUUUCUUAGAGUGUCGAAGUUUUCCAUUUAGUGGGGUAAUUUUGCACAAUCUUUUACUAAGGCAAGUGGCCCAUGAAGAAGAUAGUCGUGAGGAUCAGUUAUGGUUUCAAAUUGGUGAACAUUUGAUUCGCUUGUCAAUUGUAGAAUGGUGCCUGGUUACUGGACUUUCAUAUGGUGUUGAUACCGAACUAAGAGAUGACAAAAAAGUGGAUAGGCUACGGAAAACGUAUUUUGGUGGUGCUCGCAAGAUCAAUGUUAAGGAAUUCGAUGCAUUAUUUAAGGAGUUGAAAUUCGAGGAAAUGGACGAUAUGGACGCAUUAAAGAUUGCGCUAUUUUAUUUUGCGGACAGAGUACUAAAUGUAAGAAAAAAUCACUGUCAAAUCAAUUUCGAUUGGCUUAACGAAGUUGAUGAUAUACAGUACUUCCGAAACCAUCCAUGGGGUCUUGUGUCGUGGGAAAUGAUAUACGAUAGUCUUGACAAUGCACUGUUCGAGAAAGACGAUAAAUUUAAGACAACUCGGUUGAAAAACCCAGAUCAUAACAUUGAAAAGUACAAUCUUUACGGCUUUACGUCCGGGGUUCAGGUGCGUUGUUUUUUUGUUUAUUAAUAAGUUUUAUAGUAUUAAAUAUUUGAUAGAUGUGUUAAUAGGUUUUUCACUUUGGUUGUUGCAGGUUUGGAUUUACGAAGCGAUCGGAGGUUUGCCGUCAACAUGGGUCGUGAAAACGAAGAACAAGAUUCCCCGCAUCGUGCAAUGGAAGCCCAUGGUGUCUUCGAGAAUCAACUUUGCUGAGGUUUAUUCGUUCUUCAACGAAGAAUCUCGUAUUGUAAGUAAUAUGUAUUAGUUAUUUUUUUAACUUUACUAAAUUUAAGUUAUGUAUACUUAAAAUUUUCAAUUGAAUUUAUGGCAGGAGGACGUUUUACAAACUCUUAAGCCAAAUUCAAAGGAGAGUAGUAGAAAAUAUUGGCUCACUGUGAAGGAUUACAUGCCAAGCAUUCUAGACUGGGUUCAUAAGGUCGGUUAUAAAUCUAAGUACUAUAAAUUAAAUUUAAUCAAAAUUUUAGACUUUUCAUUUAAUAAUUUUAAAUGAUACUUUAUACAACACCAACCCUCAAUCAAUGCGAUGCCGUCGGUUUCAAGGCAAUCAGACAAGCAUGACGACAUACCAAACCCAACACCAGAGCAGCGUCAUGACACUUCUGAGGAUGAGGUGGCUGUUGAUGACCACCAGGAGCAGACACAUGCCGACUCUGAUGACACACAUGAUUCUGAGGUUAUAAAUAAUAUACGAUAUUCUUCUUUUAUUAAUCAUUAUUGUUUUACUGUUAUUCUAAAGUUUUACUUAUUUUCUUUUGUAAUAGUCGAGGACAAAACAGUUUAAUGAUUACGUGCGACGACAGGAGGAUAAGAUUGAUCGUAACGUGUAUGAAUUGAAGUCAGAAUUAAAAGAUUUUAAAGAAACCGUGGUUGGCUUUAUCGACAUCUUUUCUACACGUCCAAAUAAGGAUUCUCCCACAGGACGCUCGUAUGCGGUGAGCAUAAUUAAAUUUAAUAAUUAUGUUCCUUUAACUUUUAAUUUAAUAGUUGUUUAAUAUGUUCAUCUUGGCGAAUGGACAGGCCCCGGAUGACUAUGGAAUGUAUACUGACGUGGGCAAUCAAAUUUUGUCUACGCCCACGUCAUUGUAUAGUUUCUACGGGGAUGUUAGUGGGGAGAGCGUGCAGGUGUUCACUAAGGUGCCUCCGAGCAUUAGUAAGUUCUGCCGCGCGUACAUACCGUCGUAUGUUUAUAACAGUCCUUACAUGAUUCCUCCAGUCAGGCGAGGACAGAACGUUCGGCCUUUACCUCGACCCCAAAUCAUGGAGCAUACGAUUGACAUGAGUACGAGUGUGGAUAUAAAUCCACUGAAAGGAUUGGACGACUCUAGUCUGUUUGCUGAGUUUGAUCGAUGGUUCGCUGGUGAUAUCACAGUGGAUCGGAGAGUCCAGCACCCGCAAUCAUUCUUGCAAAUAAUUAUGGGUACAGCUUCGAUGGAAUGGCUAGGCGAUGAGGUAUUUAUAUUUUCGAAGUUUUUUGAGUGUUGUGGAUUUGUGUAUAAUUUUUUUCUUUUAAAUCGUAAUGUUUCUAUUUCUCUACAGCAUAUUCACGAGUAUUUCCGCUUGAUUAGCGAGAAACAACGGCAGUAUCCGAAUGCCUUAGUUCAACGUGUCACACAUACUGACACAUUUUUUUGGGUAAUGUGCCAACAAAACUUAUAAAUACUAUUUAUGUUUUUUUUUUUAAUUAUUGCCUUUAAGUUUUGUUAAUUUAUGCAUUUCUUGGUUAUUUAUGUACUAGGUGUUCUUGAAUCAGUUAUGGAACAACGAGGAUUGUGCGGUCGAUUCAUUAGUAUUCGACAACCGCUUGAAUAGUUAUCUUUGUGGGCGAGAGCACACAAUGUCCAAAUCAAUGACGGAUGUCGAUAUGGUAUGUAUUUUAUUGCAUUUCACAUACUCCAUAAUGAAAAUAUCCAAGUUGUUGCUUUUUCUUGGUUGUAUUUCAAUUUCAUCUAUAACGAACAUGUUUUUAAAUUUUUAUAUACAGUUACUCAUCCCUGUUAACUUGGACGGCGCGCAUUGGGUACUAGUACGAGUUGACUUUUAGAAAAACAAAGUCUGGAUUUAUGACUCAUUACUCACAUUUCGCGACGACAAAAGGUACAAGUUGAAAUUCAAGCCACUUGAAGUUAUAUUCCCUCGAUGGUUGGAAUAUGUUGGCUUCUACAACAUCCGACCUGAGUUGCGGAGUGCAGACCCCUGGAAACUUAUCGCAGUUAAGAGUGCGCCACAACAAGAGCUCGGAACUGGCGAUUGCGGUGUUUUUGUAUUGAUGGUUACGAUGUAUUUAAUGUUCGGGCUUAGAUUAGAGUUUAACGCUAGUCAUGUCGAGUACUUUAGAAAGAAGAUUGCGGUUGACAUAUUUAAUGACGAUAUUGUAUUGUAAACUGUUAUAGUAAUUUGAAUGUUGAAACUUGAAUUUUUAUUUUAAUUUGCGCACUUAAGUUUAUAUAAUUUUAAUGCUCACAUUUUAAUAUUUAAAAUAAUAAAAAGUUUUAUGACAUAUAAUGGUACAAUACACAAAAAACAAUAACAGUUUUAACCAACGAAACACAAAAAACAAUAACAGUUUUAACCUUCCUGCUCAUUGAAAUAAUACAACUAACUUCGAGUCGAUGCAAUGAGAUUCUUACAUCGCUUACUAUUAUGGCUCAGUUCAUGACACCGCCCACAUCUUACAGUCCGCCGGUUAACGUUCUCGCCAGCCGAGGGUAUUCUGAGCUCUUUACGACGGCCAGGUGGUGGUGCCUCAACUGGUGGGUAUACUUGCAUCUCCUGAAUUUCAUCUGGAACAUCCCAAUCAGCCACAUCACCAACUGGCUCCACUAGUUGUGCAUAAGCCAUCACCAACGAUUCUGUAGUGUAAAAGUCCGAGCAAAGGUUAAUAAAAUCCACCCGGUGUGUUAGACACACCGCAAUUGCAUGAGCACAUACAAGCUGAUCAAGCUGAAACACUCUGCAGGAGCAAGUUUUUUUUUGCAAGUCAACCAAACCUUCCUUAAGCCCACCACCUAUAACUUGAAAUCGAUGCGGAGACACCGGCCGAACUAUCAUUCUUUCAGCUAUAGUUCUCCUCUCAGUGACUAUUUUCAUCCGCCCAUGUUGUUAGCCGAGUAGUCAUUGAUUCAGCCAUAAUUUUUCUAUCAUAAAACUAUUACUGCAAUGUUUUCCUAAAGUGAUCAACAAGAUGAGUAACAGGAAAUUUUCGAGGUUCCCUCAUGAAAGAAUUAACACUCUCCGCGAUGUUGGUGGUAAGUAUGUUGUACCUCCUACCUUCAAACUGAGACCUUGCCCAAUUACACGUACCGACAUUAUUUUCUAGGUAAUCAGCUGCACCCGAGUGAAUCAUCCACAACCCUUCAAGUUGUCUCUUAAAUUCCUCGUGGCCAUAUGCUUUUGCUGCAUUAAUAAAGGCAGGCUCAAAUUCAUCCUAACGAGCUUUGGACAUUCUAAACUGUGACUUAAUGUUACAUUUGACGUGGUAAAAACAAACGCCAUGAGUUGCAUUGUGAAAUACUUUGAGAACGACUCUCCUUAUGGCAGUGCAUCGAUCAGAGAUAAUUACCAACUCAUGUCUAUCGCCAAUCACUCCGUGUAACUUCAUCAUAAACCAUUCCCAAGCAUCAUUAUUUUUUGAAUCCAUGAUCCUAAUGGCUAGCGGAUACAAUUGAUUGUUACCAUCAAGACAUGUUGCCACGAACAUGCUUCCACGAUAUAGCCCCUUCAGAUGAGUACCAUCUACAGCAAUGACAGGCCGAAUGUACUGCAUAAAACCCUUAAUGGAAGAUCCGAGUGCUACAAAAUAGUACAAGAAAUUAUCAUCUCCAUCCUGCUCGAGGUGAGUGACUGUACCCUCAUUCACUGUAGUUAGUACGUGAGAGUAUUUAGGGAGCAAGUUGUAUGACUCCACAGGGUUGCCUCGAACUAUUUCAAGACCAACUUCUCUCGCCCGAUAUGCCUGCUGGUAUGUUAACUGAACACCGUAUUCCUGUUGCAUAUCUGCUUUUAUGUCAUUCGGAGUAUAAAUUCUCUUGUCUUGAAUAUAUUUUUCUGCGAUAAUAUGACCGACAACCCGGCUCCUUACUUGAUGACGUCCAUCAACCAAUACCUCAUUAUGACAAGUGUGUACAUUAUCAAUUCUUCGCACCACCCAAGGAACAUUUUGCUCGUUUGAACUUCUAGUUGCUCGAAUACGUCAUUUACAUGAUUCCGAACAACAAUGAGCCUCGAAACGUGUCGUUGUAGACCGUGCAAUCUUAAAAUCAAACUUAUCCCUAAAGGCAACCUUGCGUAGUUGUAAUAUAAACUCAUUCUUCUCAGCAAAUAUAUAGUUUACCCACACUGAUAUCAUCUAAGUCACAACUGCUAACAAAGCUUAGAGCAACCAUGUUCGAAGGCAAAGUUGGAGCAAGACUUGUGAGGGGGUCAAUUCUCCUUCUCGAUCGAACCAUAGAAGGAAUAGGUCUAUUGCCUCUGUUAUUCACAGGAGUAUUGUCUUCACACUCAUCCUCAUGCUAAAACGACGGAACAUUCGAAGGACCGGCUCCUCCAUCAUCACCAUCAUUACUGAAAUGAGUGCCCCUCAUAUUAUUAGAAGGUUCUGCACAAACAUUAUCCCCCUCUGUCUCAUCAUGAAAAUCAUCAUUAUCUCGAAAAUCAUUGUUGUGAUACGGAGAAUAUCGUUGCUCCAACGACGUCGUUAUUGGAAAUACCGUUGCUCUAACAUCUGUAACGUAACGCCGUUAUCAUCAAUGUUGUCAUAAUUAUCGUGGAUUGGAGAGUAAUAUUGCUGCAGCGAUAUUGUCCUUGACAACACCUCAUCUUCAUUAUCGGGGCCAGACAUAUUUGCUCUAAACGAAGUUUCUGUAUCGACAUGUGGCUCAAUACCUUCGCUCGGAACUCGAGGUGAUGUGGUCACGAAUAUAGGAAUGCAUCCAAAAUUGGCUACGUCGGAUGCCAUAUGUAACACAACCCUCACCAUUUCAUCAUCAAAUAUAUCUAUGGGCAGUGCACAUACACGAUAUAAUGUGUUACUAGACCUCAAAGUUGUCUUAAUUGUGAUACUAUAUUCAUUAGGGUUAAUUUGUAACACAUCGUAUACUCUUGUCAAUAACUGAUCAAACAAACAAUUUUUCCCAACAAAAAAAAGCUCUAUUUUUACUAUUGACAUACUCCAUACACCCAUCCUCUAAUAUCUCCCACCAACCAUCGUAACACAAUUCAAGUACAACUGAAUCCAUUAAGCCUGAAAUUAUAAAAAAAUAAAUUAUUUGAACCUAAUCAAAUUAAUAGUUAAUUGUAAUGAAUGUGGCUUUUUGUGCGACAGGCUGACUGUCGCAUGAAACUUAGUGCGACAGGUUGCCUGUCGCUCCAAGUUUUCAUGCGACAGGCUACAUGUCGCCAAAUUCACCCAUGAAACCAUGAUUCGCAGUUCACUCAAACUCUCGAGCAAGUUUAGAAAAUAACUCAUACCACUAUGUGAUGCCGAUUACUAUUGGAUCUGGAUAAAUUAUAAUCAGAUUUCACUUUUUAUCGUUGCCUUUUGCUGUUGCCGUUGGUUGAUGAUUCAAGAGUGGGAAGCUGCCUUUGGUUUGACGAAAAGGGAGAAAGAAAGUUACUUUUGGUUUGUAAAGAAGGGUAAUUUGAGGAGAAAAACGUGUGUUUGGCUAAUGUUGAUAGAAAAAAAUUGAGAGAGUUAAUUGUAAAAAUAACAAAAAUUUUAUAAUUAUUUUUAUAAAUUUCCCAUUAUAAAUGGACCACGAGUCAUAAUUACAUGUACAAACUCCAAUAUCAGAGAAUGAAGAUAAAAUAUAUACCAAAUGAUAAGAAAAAUUCUGUGGCAUUUGGAGCAGUACGAUAUUCUCAUCACAGGAUGAAUCAUCAUGAGAAUUGAGAAAUGGUCAUCAAAUUCUUCAUUAUAAAAGACUCUGUUCGCAUCGAUUCAAGAGUCAAAAAGAAAAUCAAGUAUCAGCAUAAGUAAAUAUUUCUUCUGUGGAUUCACAUCAUUACAUAACGAGUGAGAGGGGAUUAUUUCGAUUCUCAAUUAGUGGGAUUAAUUCGAUUUGAGGAAUUUGUGGCUCAAAUUAAUAAGUCUUAGGCGAAUUAUUCCCCCACUAAACCAACGAUAUGAUUUCUUUUUGUAAUUACCGAAGACUAUGGUUUUAACCAAUAAUUAUUAUAUUCCCAGCUAGCUAGCUCACAACAUAUUAUAUUUUCGAAUCUCAUUUAAUCAUGGACUCUCAUAAUUUGGGCUCAUUUCAACUUUGAAAGAUCUAUUGUGUGAGAUAUCAUAUCAUUAGUAGUGAACAGCACUGAUACAAUGAAAACUUUAAUGAAUGCCGUCACUGCUGUAUCGAGCUACAUGUACAACUAAAAGUAAAAGAACACCAUAAUUAAAAGAUACACACUCUUUGUGGCAUGAAUUUGGACCAUAUGAGAUGUGCUUAUCUUCUUAAUUAUAAUCUUUUAGUUUAGGUCUAAUAUUUUUAUUUAAAGUUAAUUCUUUUACAUUUACGUUCUAACUAAUUUCUUCAUACUGAAUUCCGUCUUUUCCCAAGAGCUCCUUUGAUCAAAUUCAUCAACACAGACAGCUUGUCGAAGUGGAAUCUGGGUCUUGCAGCUUGAGGUUAUUUUCCAAUGCCUCUUGAUCAACAAAUUACGCUCUUUCUAUGCUUGCUUACUCUCACAAAUGUGAGAGCAGCGGUUCAAGUCUUUAGAAACUCACUCUCCCUCAAUUAAAUAUGAUUGAGUGGAGACCGUGCAGUCUUUUUUCUUAGAAAUUUUAGUGAAGUGAACAAUUUUUGAAUAUUUGUGAGGGUAGAUAAUUUGGGCAAGUGUUUCAUAAAAUUUAAUAUAUAAAGUUAUAGUCAUAGUAUGUAAUUGUAUGUUAAAAUAGUAACCGUAAAUAUUUGAUGUAAUAUCAAUAUUGAGAUCUAUGCGAUUCGAAAAGCAGUUGAGCUUGCUAUGCAUCAAAGGGCUGCAAUUUUCUUUGAUUGGAAACCGACUCUUCUUGAACUUUGGCUUGUCUUAUGAGUUCGGGUUUCAAGCCUCCAUGGUCAUUGCUGGUAAAGUGGUUAAAUUGUUUAAGUCUAAUUCAUGGCAUGCAUUUUUAUUGGGUACAUAUUUUUCGAGAACACAAUUAUGACAGUCUAGCUAAUUUGGGUUUUGUUAUUAAUGAUUUUAAUUGGUAGGAUGCUCCUCUAUUUUAGCCAUAAGGAUCUUCUUAAGGAUAUUUAAGCUCUUUUCAAAUAUUAGUUCAGCUGACUGAGCAUGUUGUUCAUUCUCUUCUUUUUCCCAUUAAUAAAAUUUCAGCAUCAUUCGUGUGUGUAUGUAUAUACAUGUGUAUGUAUGUAGGUGUAUGUAUGCAUAUACGUACGCACGUAUGUAUGUGUAUAUAUAUAUAUUAAUGAAAGAUUGGCUGAUGAUGGGAUCCAAAUUUCUUUGGAUGUAUUGAUGUAAGGUUUUAGAUCUAUUCACAAAGAGACACAUUUCAUGAAUUAUUACUAUUUGAUUAAUCCAAUCACUCAAAUUAAUCCAUUACAUCAGCUUUUCUCUCGCAUCGAUUAGAUUUUACUAUUUUAGUAUAAACACAUCUACUAAACGUCAAUUUCUUCUGAUGAUCACGUUUGCCAUUCAAACAACAACAACAAAAAAAAAAAAUGCCAUUAUUCAUCAUCACAUUCACAUCCAAUCUUAUAUUAUUUCGAAUUAGUAUUAUUUACACUUUGGACAAGUAACAUUAUUGAUUUUUUUUCUAUUUGGAAUUCAAUAAUGCAAAUGGACAAUACAACAAUGGGGUCCAUAACAUUAGUGGAUACUAAUCAAGCUAAAAUUUCAAAUUGUGAAGAUGCAUAUGUAGCCUUUUAAAAAGGCCGUGUGACAAAGACACGAUAGAUUUAAAGUACGGUCGAAUUUUGAACAUAAUUUUAACGUCUGUGAUGGAACAGAAAUGUUCAUAGUUAAUAAAAGUACAUUUAAUAUAAAUUUUAAAGAGCAGGCAAACUAAAACAACACAAAAUGAUGGCAUGAUGGAGUUUUCUUCGACAAAUUGUCCAUAUAAUUUACAGAGCUGAAGCCACAGGUGAGAGGCUAUCUAUUGAAAGGAAAAUGCCAUUAGAAUCCCUUAAAAAUCCUUUAACAAAACCAAUCAUCUGUCUUUGUCAAGAAAUAACUGGAAUCAUUAAUAGAAAUAAAUUUAAUUAAUUAAAAGGUGGGAGCUGAUAAAAGAAAUGAGGCAGUUAAAUAUUGUCACUCCUAGAAAUAAUUGAAAGAAUUUGCAUGUAGGAAGAAUUGAACUUGAAUCUUCCGUAUUAAUACCCUGUUAAAAAAAUGCCGUUAGAACUUAGAAUCCCUUGGAAAUCCAUUAGCAAAAUCAAUCAUUUGUCUUUGUCAAGAAAUAAUUGAAAUCAUUAAUAAAAAUAAAUUAAAUUAAUUAAAAGGUGGGGGCCAAUAAAAGAAAUUGAGGUGGUCAAAUAUCGCUGCUCCUAAAAAUAAUUGAAAGAGUUUGUACGUAGGAAGAAUUGAACUUCAGACCUCCGUAUUAAUACCAUGUUAAAAAAAUACUUGACUCAAAAGCUAAAUCCAAUUAGUAAGGGUCCAAAAAUAAUAUUUAAACCGAUUUUAACACAAAUCAUUGAUUUCAUUCAUAUAAUCUAAUCGUAAAGACGUGUUCGUUUGGGGACAAUCCAUCUAUUUAACUUUAAAAAAAAUUUAAAAAAAAUAACCAAAAUUUUAUAAGAUGAUUAGUUAUUGAUUUUAAAUAAAUAAAUAAAUUUUAACGUACACUAAGAUUUGUGAAAUAUCAUUAAAAAUUGCUUUAGAACCCGGUGUAUAUAAUAGGAGAUGUAUGGCAAGAAAAAAAAAUUGAAAAUAUCUGAUAGUGGGGACCUUUUAAUUUUAAAAAGAUUAAUUUCAAGACAUCUCUUAUGAAUCAGAUAUCUUUAAUUUAUCUCCUUAUUUUUUAAAACUUCAACUUUUCAUCUAUUUUUUAUUUAGACGACAAAAAUAAAUUUAUCAACACACCCCUAUUUUUCUUUGUCUUUUGAACAAAAAUAAAGGUAAUUUGAGAUUUUUAAAAGUAAGGAGUAAUUUGAAUAUAGUUCAUUUACGAGAGAGUAAUUUAAAAUUUACCCAUAAAAACUCUAAACAAUUAUCUUAUCUAUGUAUGAUUUUACCAAAUUUAAGGACCUAAUAUUAUAAUCCUAUUAACAAAUGGAUACAUAAAUAAUUAACCGUUUGAGCUUGUUGACCUUUCUCCAAACAAUAAUGAUAUUAUUAGCUUGGAUGCUUAGUAAGUAUACUUAUUUAUGGUUUUACCAGAUUUAAGGACCUCAAUGUUAUAUAAACCCAUUUAUAGAACGAUACGUAAAUAAUUGUUGAACGUGUUGACUUUUCUCCAAAUAAUAAUUAUAUUCUUAAUUUGGAUUUUUACUUAGAACGAUGGAUCACAUAUAAGCUGUCCCAUCAAUAAAUAUCUUAAUUAAGUAUUCAAAAUGAGUAAAUACAUUAAAAUUAACAUUUUAUUGAAUCAUAUUAUCUACCCCUACCGACUAACACAAUUUAUGGUAGGACUUGAAUCUGCGUCACGUAAUUGAACCUCUACCGCUCGACUUUCGGGACGCAAGUCCUUCUAUUGGACUACAAAGUCCGUAAAUAAAAAAAUUGGCAUAAUUAAUUAAUUAAUUAUUAAUUUAUUUAUUUAUUAUAUAAUAGUGUAUGUAAAAUAAACAACUAAAUUUGCGAGGCAAAUGUCAAUCUUUUAUAAAUAAAAAAAUUAUUGUUUGCUUUCAACUUUUAAUUCUAUGUAUAAUUACUAAAUUACCCUUGCACAGUUAAUUUUAACCAAAAGAGUAACGAAGAUGGGCUUAUAUGUCACCUUGGGUACGUUUGGUUUUGUGAGAUAAACGUUGAUAGUGUGGGAUAAAUUUUUAAACUUUAAAUAAUAAUUUUGAUAAAAAUAAUAAAUAUAUUCGAGGUAUAUUUCGUUAUAAAAAUGUGAGAUAAAAUUUAUGUAGCUUGUAAAUCACAAUGAUAAGUAUUUACCAAACACCUUAUAAUUGUAAUUUUUUAAGUUAUAUCUGCCCGUUCGCAAUAUCAAAUAGACGAUUAUUUUGUUCACGAGGAUCUGUUUGAUAGAUUCAUAAAACUUUGGGGGUCCAAGUAUAAAUUACCCUAAAACUCGCCACUCCCAAAAUAUUUUGUAUCAAUAAAUCUCUGUCGAAAAAUUCUGAAGCACUGGUCACUCUCAUCAAAUUAUUAUUAAUUUAUUAUUUCCAAUUUUAUCUUCUCAUACGUCGCGUAGAAAAAAAUAUACUAUAAGAGUUGCAUAAUUAGUGCACGUCUCACUCUUAUCUCAUCAAUUUCUUAAAUAGUUAGAAGAACAUGAAUAACGAGACAAAACACAAACAAAUAUCCAUCCUAUUUGAUUGAUGGCGAUGCCGGCCGAGUUUUGUAAACGUCUAAAUGAAGCAAAGUUAGUAUAUUGCAUUGUUAUCAAUUAGGUCCCAGAAACGUCAAUAAUGGUGACAUUCAUUCACACACACACCAACACAUACGUAAAAUAUCGUAUGAUGUGUCGGUUAAAUAAAGUUUUAAAUUAUUAAUUCUUGCUUAAAAUAUUUCUUGAAGAACAAGUCUUACCUACUUUGAUUAAUUCAACGACUUCAAUUAUGUGCUAGAAAAAAACUAAAGAUGCAUGUGAAAGGUUAAUUAUAUUCAUAAAAAAACUCAUUUCUUUCAUGUCAAGUCUAAACCGAUAUCACUUUUGUUUUUAGUUGGUUUGGUUAUUUGUUUUUUUUUUUUAAUAAUUAAGGUCACUUUGAAUAUUUAAUAUCUCUAAAGAAGGCUUGAUCUUCUAGACUUUGGAUUUUGGAUAGUUAUUCUUGGUUGGAUUAGAUCUCCAGGAAUCAUAUUGAUUACGUAUUUAUCAUUUUCCUUUUCUUUUUCGGGUUGUCAUCAAAAGAUAAAGGUAGGAGAGUCCAAAUCAAUCAAAAUUCAAACAUUAUCAUUGAAGUUGUCUUUAGAAUUUUGAAGAAGCAGUUUCUAAUUUUACGCAAUCGGAUGUUGGCGGAUUGCGAUCGCUUCUUAAAUAAGUUGCUUCUGUUAUGUGGAUGAAAUAAACCACUAAUUAAAAAAAUAAUUUAGUGUUUGAUAAACUUUGUUGUCGCAGUUAUUGUGAGUUUGAAAAAUAGAGCAUAUGAGUUUGAUAAAUUUUAUAAUAAAAGUGUUGUUUUAUUAUAUAAUGACAAAAAUAAAUAUAAGUUUAAAUUGCCUUUUAUUUUAGAGUAUAUUUAAUAAAUUAUUUUGACAUGCCUUUUUUCUUUAAGUACGUAAAAUUACAUAAUGUGAAAAAAAAACUUAAUUAAAUACAAUUUAACGAGCUUCAAAAUAUGUUACAUAAAUAUGAUAAAAAUUCAUACUUAUACAUAAUCCAAAUAAAAUAAAAUGUAAUAUGUAUUACAUUCACAUUAAAUUAAUAGUGUAGAGAACAUGCAGUUGUUGUGGUGGUAAUUUAAUUGUGACGGUAAUGUGAUAUCUAAUGGUUAUGUAUUAAGGUUUAUGGAAUAAUAAGAUAUAAUUGUCUUUUUGUAAAAUAAUAACGUUAUAAUAUGAACUUUAAAAAGGUGUGGCGAUUUUUUAAAAAGCAUCUCUCUACUUGUUUUAAAAAUUACUGUUAAAAUAGAAAAAAAAUCAUAAAAUAAGUUGUUUUCAUAAAAUUUACCAAACACUAUUUUUGUCAAAAAUUAUAAAAUAAAUAAUUUAUUGAGUUUCAACCUCAAUCCCAAAUGUGGCCGUUGUACAUAUAAAUCUCUUGUAAUUUUAACAAACUAACCUCAAAUAAUUGUGGGCUUUUCACAUAGGUUGGAAGGGGUUUGAUUUUCAUUUUUGUAAUGAUUAAAAAUAAUUAGCAAAAUAUUAGAUAUGGUACGCAGUGAAUGUAAUGACAAUUAAUGCACUAUAAAGACAUAUUUAUACAAACAAUAAGUUGUAAAUUUGUGCACUCAAAUGUUUCUUUCACAAACUUGAGGACCAAUUUGAUAAUAACUCUUCAGAGAACGUUUCUACAAUGUUGACAUUACAAUGAUUCUAUCAAGGGGCAGAUGCCACUUAAUUUAUGUCAGUCCUUAGGGUUUGGACUAAUUAUCCAAUUAUCUCCUGUAUUUUUAAAAAUCGUAUUAAUAUCUUUAUUAUUACUUUUCAAGGUAAAAUUAGUAAUUCUAUCUGAUAGGAAUUCAAUUUGAAUCAAAUCUGACAUGCAACAGGUGAAAAUAAAGAAUAAGUAUGUUUGAAUGAAACUAAAUAUACAACAUAUAUGGUGUUUUAAGAAUUUUUGAAAUUAAUUAAAACUUUAAGGACUAAGGAGUUGGUAUCCAAUCCACCAUCCUAUCAAUUUUUGGUUGUCGAAGAUGGAUGGCAAGAACUAAUUUUAGUACAAGUGGCAAACUUAAUUCGGCUAACUUCGUAGGAAUAUUAAUUUGAUAAUAACCCUUACAAGAAUUUGUUCGAAUUUAAUUCGGCUGAGUGCAAAUCAAAAAUUGUGAUUGACAACUAAUAAAGAAAAAAAAUCAUAUUGUGAUUGACAAUCGAUAAAGAGUAUGAAUGAAAAUCAAUUUAAAACUAUCUACUCCAAGUUCAAAUAUUUUAAGUAAUUUCAUUUGAUUGAUUGUUUGAGUUCAAUUUUUUUUUUUUAAAAAAGUAAGGGAAUAAGAAUUUAGUUUAGACCUUGUUCACCCUCCUAUGUUGAAAGAAGAUAUAAAAUUUAUAUUAUAACAUAUUUUACUAUACAUUCUUUAAUUUCUCUAUGCAAUUUAUUGAGGAGAUCUUACUGAAAUUGAUAAAUACCACUUAACCCUUAUUUUUUUUCACAAUAUCAAAAACCCUAUUGGCAUAAAAUUUUUUUAAAGGAAAUAGAGGUAAAUAGAUCAUUUGCUUAACAAUUUAUCUUGGGAACAUAAAAUAUAUAUUUAAUAUAAGAAAAAUGUUUUAAAAUAGUAAAAAGUAUAAAAAAAAUAUCUUAUUAUUAAUUUUUUAUUUAUACUAAUUUUUUUUUAGUACUAUUUUAAUUUUAAUUUUAAUUUUAAUUUUUAUUAAUAUGAUUUAUUUUAAUUUAUAAUAAUUAUGAACUAAAGUGUAUUUGAAAAUAAGGGUAAUACUUAGCUAAUAUGAAAACAAUAAGAAAGUAAAUGAUAUAUAAAUUAAUUUUAGUAAACGAAAACUAACAAUCUACCCAAUUUAUUGAUUAGCUUGUUCUUUCUUUACAUAUGUCUUCAUCACUUUUCACAUGUUGUAACAUGUUUGUUUUCACACUCAAAUAAUUCUUAAAAACUUUGAACCUUUUUCCAUUUAAUAUCUUUUUUUAAUCGAGUGGGAAGUUUUUCUUGAUUGAUACUGUUAGAUUCACACCCACACUUUCCCUUCAAUAUAUAUGAAAGCCUAUAAUUAUACAUAUAUAGCCCUUCUUUAGUGUAGAUACUCUCAUUUUUUUUUUUCAUGCAGCCACGUUUUUAAGCUAUAUGGUUUAAUAAAGUCAGAUUUUAAUACUAUUAAAUUGCAUGGCUUAAUAGCAUGUCUGCAUUAAAAAAAUGUGUCUAAUAUAUAUAAUGCGGAUACAUUGUUAAGCGAUGCGGCUUAAUAAAGUUAAUUUUUAAUGCACUAUAAAACCGUGCAGUUUAAUAAUAUUACAAAUUGACUCUAUUAAAAUACAUGGUUUAAAAGGAGGCACGCAUAAAAAAAAUGAGUGCGCCACAAUAAAAAAGGACUUUAUAUAUAUAUAUGAGAAACAUGAGAAACUUGAGAGCUUGAGUAUCAUUCUCCCUAAUAUAAACGUUGAUCAAAUGGACACUAAACAAUCAAUAGGGUAGGAUUAUGAAAGAUUUGGGUGCUGAUGCCUGAUGCUCUCUCCCAGUAGUGAAAUCUUUGGAUAUCCUGAAAGUGAUUUUUUUUUUUUUUGUGGGGUUUAAAUUUUAAUGUUCAAAUGGACAAUACAUUGCUUAGCUAAGAGCAACCGACAUGAUGAUUCAAAUCGAGACAACUUUAAAUUUAAACCACCAUAAUUAUCUUUUGUUCAUAGUGAUUAUACAAUUAUAUAUUAUGAUUAAAUUAUGUCAAGCUGUAUUCAAAUAAUUGCAGUGGUUUAAUUCUGGCAUGAUUCUCGAAAAGCUUAGAAGAAGAUAUAAAUAUAUGCUCAUUUGAAACUGGCUUGAUUUAAUUAGAGAACUCUGACAGUAUUAAAAUCAAUAAUAAGUUAAAAGAGAAAAAUAAAAUAUAUUACAUUAAAAUUAAUAUUUUUGUAUCUUUUAACUAAUCACUGGCUUUAAUUAGAGAUCCACGAUAAGAAAAUUAUUCACACACUUAAUUAAAUUGCAAAAACACAUUUACAUUAUAUAAAGUGUGGGAAAUCCCCCCCAAACAAGCACUAUAUAUAUAAAUAUUAUUUAGAAGAAAAAGAAAGUGAAAAUUCAAAAAGUUUUAAGACUCCUAAUCUAUAUUUAACUUCAAUCACAUCGUCUUCAAAGUUUACUUAAUUUAAUAGUCUAUUUGAGUAGAUUUGUUUAAUAAAUACCACGUAGUUUAAUCUUCUAGUUAAUGAUUUAGAAUAGAAUACACGUACCGGGUAUUUGGUUUUACAUUAAUGGAAGCAAUUAAAAGAGAUAAAAAAAGGAAAAAAAAACCAUCAACCUCGUUAUCGGCCGGCUUAUCUUUGCUUUAAGACUUUUUCGUCUAGAAUAUUUAAAACUAACAAAUAGAGCAAGAUUGCUUAUUUCAGUGGAAAUUAGAGCUAGGGAGGGCAGCAGUUUGAAUCCCCACAAAAGUAUUGUAGGAGUAUUUUUUUCUUUAAUUAAUUGAGUGAAGGUAGUUUUCUUCUUUACCCAUGAAUGAGGAGUAGACAUCCCUCGAAUAUUUAUAAGGAUUAAAAUCUGGGUAAAAUUUUAUUAGCAUUGAUGUAAGUUGGUCCCACAAUAAUAAUUUGAUUUGUAAAUAUCAAUUAUAGUCUCAUGUAAUAUGAGUUGUAAUCUGAGUAAUAGUCUCAUGUAAUAAAAAAAAAGUGGAAAUUAGCUAGAAGCAACCUUAAUCACAGAGGUUAGGUUUGAACAAACCUCACUUGUAUAAAGACUUUUAGCUCUAACCUCCAUCCAUAAUUAAGUCAACUUAAUUGCCUUUUAAUGCGGGUUAGCCGACGCGUAUAAUACAGCCUGCAUAAUUUGAGAAAGCGAGAGGAAGUAGAAAAUCGCCCAUUAUAUUCACACACUAUACUCUUUUGGGUUUUGGGAUCUAUACAAUAACAAUACAAGCAUCUUGCAUUUGAGAUAAAACUUAAGCCUUUACGGAAGUGACUUUUUAUGUACAUAUAAUUAUUAUAUUUUAUUUAAAUAUUAAUAACUAAUUUAAUUUGAUUAAUAUAUAAAAUCAAGUUAUGUUGAAACUGUUCUAUAAUAAAACAUGUCUUCAUAAUCACAUAAUUAAAAUUAUAACGUAUUUUUUUAUUAAUUAUUACUUUACGUAUAUGGUUGUAAUUUAUACUCUAUCUUAAUGCAGUUAUAAAAUAACUAUUGACUCAUGUAUAACAUGAUACGACAGUAAUAAUAACUCGUCACAUCAGUUAAAUUUUAAAUUGAGAUUCCUUAAUUUACUUUUUUGAUCUUUUUGAGAUGUCGUGUUAUCAAAACAAACGAAGAAAAAGAAGGGUGUGUUGAAACAUGUAAAAAUCAAACGUAUACGUGCCAUGCAUAUGAAGCAACCAAUGCUUGUGGCAAGAAUUUUCCAAGAAAAUAGGUGGUGGAAAAAUGAAGUAUGCUGAUGAGGAAUUGAAUUAGGAAAGUUUUGAAUUCAAUGCAUCCAAUUCUGAUGCAAGAAUGACAUUUUCUCCUGCGAAAUCCACCGGCUGAAACACAUGCCGCGUGGAACUUUAUUGACCAGUUGAUGAUUCGGCAGAUCUAGCAUGCGUAACCAGUAACCACAUCAAUUAAUUACAAGUAAUUCUGAAGGUGUAGGUGAGGCAGCGAGGUGGUUGCCAUGGCCAUGUUUCGAUACCAAAACAAGCUAACAAACAUUAAAGGAGAGUAGAUUUAUAGAGGCAAGAAUAAGGCGGUGGUCCUUAUUCCUUAAUUAAGCCUUGGUCAUCAAGGCUAGGCUCAGGGCAUGUGAUCGACUGAUACCUAUUUUCAAGCACAACUCGUCUUUCAAAUUCUCCAUUAAUUUACACAGAAAAUGGUAUAAAAACGAAACUGGUUUCUUUGGGCCACCACUGAAAUUGUUUUUGACCGUUCAUUAAAUCAGUUCAGCUACUUUUCAAUGUGGUUUGUUGUUUGGUUUUAAUUUUAUUAACAAAUUUGUUCAAAGAACGUCUGCUUCAAUUGUUUGCCCUCUCAAAUACAUGUUUCUUUUUGUGAGAAGAGGCAUGAAAUUUAUAUUCAAAUGGAAAGAGCAAUAAUACAUAUAUAAAUUCAUAGUUUUUUUUUCUUUUUUUUGAAAUUUGAUUUGUCAUUUUAGCUGAAAUACAACGUCAUUAUCAAAAAUAUUUAAGUUCCGUAUUUAAUUCAUGUUUGAGAUUGAGGUAUUAUAUCUUUUAAGCUAUACAUGCUAUAGAAAAAAAAUACUAUUAUUAUGAAAUAAAAAUUAAUAAUAUGUAGUAAAUAUAAAUUUUAAAUAAUAAUUUUGAUAAAAUUAUUAAAGAUAUAAUAGAUUUUUUAUUAUACAAGUGAAAAAUAUAUUAAUUUAGCUUCCAAGCUAUAACAAUUAGUGUUUACCAAACAAUUUAGUACUGUACCUUUUAAGUUACAGCUGCCCAACCUCAAUCCCAAAUGCAUAUUUAAUUAUUUAGUUACGAAUUUAUAUUAACUAAAUCCAGAAAUGACAGAAAAAAUAAAGAUAUUAAUUCAUACUUAAAUUUAUGAGAGAUAUCGUAACAUGAUUGAUUAAUUUGUGUUCAUAAUAUUUAUUGUUUUCAAUAGACUUGCACAAUUAAAAUGUAUUUAUUUUUUCAAGUCUUUAGGAGUAUUUUACUUAUUUAAAAAAAAAAAUUAAUUUUGUUAACUCAUUCUUUCUUUACACUAGUAAAACUAGGGAAAUCCAUAUCCUAGGCCAGGGACGUGCUCUCGUAUCCAACCAAACAAACAGAGGUCCGGGUAUAAUCUGGUAGUUCCACCUACUCUUUGGGGACAUUUAUGUAAAUCAGCAGAAAAAAAUAUCUAAUAACUUUCAUGAUAAUCUCACCAGCACCACCGUGACACGCACGUCACAACAAGGCAUUUGAUACUUCACUUACCGCCCUGACAGAAUUAUAAACGUAUCGCAUGUGCCUUGUUCUGUGGAUCAUCUCCUACACGUGUCACGCCAAAAUUGAACUUACAUGUUAACCGGAAGAGCCGGUGUCCAAAGCAUCUGGACGGCGCGUUCUUAUCUAUUAAACAAACGGUAAUUUACCGGUUCCGUGCGAUGGCGACUGACUCUGACGGCAAAGCCACGUGGUGCCGAAGUUUCACGACGUGGCGCCGUGCAUGUACUUGAGCCGCAGAGGCUGACUUACCGGCUUUCUUUUCUUGGGACCCGUAAAAGUUUACAUAGAAACGUUUGUCAGUCGGCGCCGCUUUAGUGAGUAGCUCGGCUUAGUUGUACGUUUAUUCGUAGAUGCUGGAUAAAGUUAGUUUGAUGUCAAAAACGUGGGGGGGCGGGACCCGCGUAGGGAGAUAGGCUUUGGGUUUGAUGACGUUGGUUUAGCCUUUCUAGUUAUCUUCAUUUUUUAUUUGAACGGCUGUGAUGGCUCUAUGGUACACGUGGGCCCCACGUUUGUUGGAGAAUCUGAAGCGGGACCCGCUAAAGGAGAGGACGAGGCGGUUAGCAAAAUUGGGCGACACGUUGGUGUGUUCGUUAGUCAACCGAGAUAUUUUUAUUUUUUUAUUUAUGUUGAAAGCGGGAGUAGAAUUUUUCACUUUGCUUCCGGUGGUCUAAUUGUCGACGCUGAAAUUGUAUAUAAUUGUGGAUCAUGGAUUCUAUAAUAUUUAACAAUAUAUUAUUAUAAAAUAAAGUUUCAUUAUCACAAGAAUUUCCUGGUAAAAGAAAACGUAAUUUAGUAAAAAUUAUUGCUUGCUCCCGGCUGAAAUUCCUUACUUGAAGGGAUUAAAAGCUUAACCUCUAUAAUUUUUAACAAUAUAUUUUAAUAAAAUAAAGUUUCAUUAUCUCAAGAAUUUCCUGGUAAAAGAAAAUGUAAUUUGGUAAAAAUUAUUGCUUGCUCCUGUAAAUCGGCUGAAAUUCCUUACUUGAAGGGAUUAAAAGCUUAACCAUACUUUUACAAUUUUAAUUAAAAUGAAUAAACGAAAGUGGCCAUUAACUCUUCAAUUGAAUUUCGAGCUCUCUGGUUGGAGUCAGAGGGUAGCUCUACUUGAUAGUUAGACUGCACUAAAUCUCUUUAAAAUUCCUUAAAUUUUAUAAUUUUUAUAUAAGAUUAGAGUUUUUUUCUUUAAUAAAUUUUUUCUCCAUUAUUUCACAAAUCAAUCUCUGCUGAAAAUAACUUAUAUACCCUUUAUAGUUUAUUUACUCUGACAUUAAAAUUUUAAAAUUUAAUAUUAAACGAGUAAGUUAUCAUUUUAAUUAGAGCGUCUUAAUUCUAUUAUAUAUAUUAAAAUUCUUGAUGUGACAUUAUUUAAUAAUAUAUUUCUUUUUUAUAUAUAUAUAUACACUAAUAGCCAAUUAUAUACAUUAAACUCAUAAUUUAGCUUGACCUAAUUAAAGAUCUAAAUUCGUAGCUGUGCGAGUCAUACCAAAAAUAUCAAGUCGGAAAUAUUAUAAAACCAUGUUGCCACGUAUCACUCAAUGGAAUUCAACUUGUCACACCAAUCUCGCUUCCUCAAACCUCCAACAGAAAUUAAAUUAAACAAAAGAUAAAUCGUAAUUAAGUUUGAACGGACAGCUCCCACCACAAAAGUUUUUCUAGAUUAGUCUGGGUACGAAAAAUUACAAUAGAGCCCUCGCAACUAAAAGGGGAACGUGUCAAAUCAAAUCCGAAGAAAAUUAAAAAACUGAAAAGACAGCAAAGCAAAAGCACUUUAGACGACUGAAACAGAGAGUCAGUGAGCCCAAAACGUACGAAGCCCACCACAUGAUUCCGCCCCCCGACUCGGUGGGCCCCACCCCGGCAACGGAUUUCAAACUCCUCUCUUAAAUUUAGUUAAUUGACAGGGGAGCAAAAUCCCAUUCGGCCAAGGAAAAAAGAAAAAAUCCGCACAAAAGAAUAAGAAUAGAAAAAUUGGGAAUAGAGACAGACGAGGAAAAAGAAAAGGCAUGAGAAGUCCGUGAAUGGAGCCUUUAAGCCUCCGCCCUACACGCGCCUGUCAGUAUUUACCUGAAACUAAUUUUUUAAUUAAUUAAUUAAUUAAAAAUUUAAAUUUAAAAAAGGGCAAAACUUCCAGGUCCUCCCUCUUUUCCCUCAACUAUAUAUACCCGGUUCAUUUGUAUCUCCCUCUCACCCAACACCUCACAUUUUCUCUCUCUAUACUUGGAACUUCUCUCUCUCU